GCUCCGCGGCAUGUGGGAUCUUCCCGGACCGGGACACGAACCCGUGUCCCCUGCAUCGGUAGGCGGACUCUCAACCACUGCGCCACCAGGGAAGCCCCGUACACGCAUUAUGAAUCAUAAUUAAGCCCUAGUUUUGACUAGCCUGUUUACUGUACAAUGAAUUUUUGUAUAUUCCAGUUACUUACAUGAAUUUUCCCUUGAGAUUUUGGUACAGUUUAAUGGAGGCAGAAAUCUGCAUUUAAAGUGAAAAAUGAUUGGUCUGUUUUUCAUAUUUAAGUAGCAUGUGGCUAUUUUUAUACUGAUUUUGAUAUUGUAUACAUUCUUUUCAUGAUCUUAUUUUGCCACUAUAAACAUCAACAAAAAAGGCGGUUUUUAGAACCUGAGUUUUAAUAGCAGUUUUGAAUUUGUAAAGUUGGUAGUUGCAGAAAUCAAACACUAGGUGGCACCCAGUUAUCUUAACAUUGGAGAUACUGAUAUAGUUGUCAACUUUUUUUUUUUUAACUUACUGUGCAUAGAAAAUUCCCAAACAACAAAAGAUUGUUUUGAACACAUGCAUGUAUGUAGAAUAUUUUUGCAGAACAAAAGGAUUAUGUUCAAAGUGUCGUUUUAUUUUCAGAAGUCAUAUACGUGUGAGCUACAAUUUUGAGUGCUUUAUAAACACUUAAACUAUGUGUAAAUGAAAAUUUAAUUUCAUAACAGUUUGUACAAAUUAAGCCUUUGGGAAAGUAUCCCUAAGCUGGGGAAAGAGGAGGGAAUAACAACUUAAUGAAAAGAUGGUCUCUUAUUUCUGAAUGGAAGAACUACAUACAGUGGAGAAAUAUAAUAAAGACAGUAUCAUGCUGCAGAGUAUAUUAUACCCUUACUUUGCGUUUAGGAUGUAUUUUAUUGUGUGUACAGGUGUUUUUUGCUUGUAUUUUAUUGGGAAUUUAGAUUUACCCUUUGUUAGUUUUUCAUCAUCAACCCUAGUAAGAUGAAAUUAAGGGCAGGGCUAGUUAGACCUAACUAGCCACAUUGAAGUGGUAUGCAACUGUAAAAGAAAUCCUUCAUGUAGCUUGUGAAACUUUUAUUCUACUGGUCUCCAGAGAACUCUUCAGUGUUGAAAAGUAAUACACAGAGGAUUAAACCUUCACAUGGCUUCAGAAAAUAAGCACAUCUUUUUUUUUUUUUUUUUUUAGUAAGCACAUCUUUGAUCCCAUGCUUAGUAUAAUUUCCUUUCCUAAGUGUGCAAACUCUGGAAUAAAAAUCUGAGGUACUAUAAAAUAUUAAAUCAAAAACCAGAAACUAAGAGUGGACAAUUGCAGUUGAUGUUUCUUACUCUAUGGAGUCCCUGAACACUUAACCUAGGUGGAAUGUGUCUGAGACCAUGGACUGGUUUUUAGUACUCAUAAGGAACCAGCCUUGAAGAGUUGACUGAGUGAUCAUCUUCGUCGGUAAUCUAAACCUCUUAAGAUACUUAGGCUUCUGUACAUAAAAGUGUUCUGGUAAAUUUGUGGUAUAUGCAGAUCUUUCCUCCACAUUGUUUUACCAAGAAUGUUUUGACUCUGCAUCUGUGCUACAGUUCAUGGUACGGGUGGUGCAACUCAAACAUUAGUUUUUCUACUUAACCUCCUCUAAUAAUAUGGUUUGUCUAAAGAUUCUUACCCCAAUUCACGUGUUUGCAGGUGACAUUUUUUUUCUUGUCUACGUAGUAACAGUCCAAUCUAGUGCUGUUGUACCCUAGAAAAUCUCAAAUUAUAAUGAUUAAAAUAGUUGGGGUAAACUUGUAUUUCAUAUGCAACACUACUUGGAGGAAUUAUUUUACUAACUUGUCUUUAGUGUGGAAAUUAGUUUCAUUGAUUUGAUUAUAUUUCAAAGGUGGAAUGGAAGUGGUCCUCAAGAAAAAAAACCUUUUUUGUUGUUAUACUGUUUGAUUCCUAUAAUACAAUGCUAGAAAGUAUGCCCUGAAAGAAAAUAAAGUCUUUGAAAUCCAAGAAUAAUGAUUCUUACUGCUAAGAGAAUGUAAUAGUUAUUACUAAUGAGUUCGAUAGGCAUGCAUUUUUCAUGCAGUGUUUAUUCCACCUCCAAUUAGAGUAUAUAAAUAAGUUGUAUUACUAAGGUGGCUAAAUAACCAAACCAAGUGUUUGUGUAAAAAAAGACUUGCCAAGAUUUAAUUGUUUGACUGUUGAAUCUUUCUUGAAAAUCCCGCCUCUCAAAAGAGACCACCUCUUAAGGAGCCUGUAAACUAUGCAUGAUGAAAAUUCUUGUAUUUUAUUAAGGAGUGGCCAUUGGUUUACUCACCACAUCUGUGGAAUCAUGGCUAUAAGUAUAGUUGCUUACAGAACUCCUGGUGACUUGUAGUUUAACUUACUCUCAUCUAUCUUGUGUAAAUAUUAAAUUAUAAGACAUUGCAUAACAUCUUGAAUAGAUACAAACUGCUGUCAGUAUUGACUUCAGAGCAAGUGAGUAAUCUAAUAGGUAAAAGCAUGUUUCAAAUAAAAUACCUAGCUGGAUUUAUACUUUAUUUGUAUUGUGUACAGAUUUAACAACAUCCAGUAUUAACUAUGGCUUGGCAGUGAAAUGAAAGUAAGUUCUUUAUGUUACCUGUCAUAAAGAUUAAAAAGAUUUGUAUUGGUGUGAGAUGUUUAGAUCUCUGUCCUGCUUAGUAAGGGGAAGUUUCAUUUAUACAGCUUUUACAUACCACUUUGUGUUUUUUAUUUACCUUCAACUACCAUCAUUGCUUUUUUCUUCCUAUUUUAGAAAAGAACAAAAUCUGAAUUAAGUCUUACUAUAAGUGUGAUAAGACACUAGCCUCUCAGGUGACCACGGGCACCUUCUCCAGCUUGUCUGAGCUUCAGGCUCCUCACCUGUAAGAUGGAGAUGAUGAGAAGAGUACCUGCAGAAUCACAGAAAUGUUGGGAGGAUUAAUAAUGCGUGUUCGUAUGUGUGAUCCACUUAGAGCAGUGUCCGCCACUAUUCACUUGAUAUCCAGGACUGUGUAAGAGAGAAUAUGCACGUCUUUUUUAUUCUCUAUUUACCAUUUCUUUUACUUGCAGUCUUUGGUUCCUAUAACAAAAGAAGUGUGUAGAAUAUAUAUUUGUAUAUUCAUGUCGACACAAUAUUUAAAAUAAUUGCUACCACCCUCAUUUAAUUCAGCCUAAGACUAACAGAUGGAAGUCUCUAAAUUGCUUAAAGAAAGGUAUUUUGCAAAGUACCAACUUGCUCUAUAUUUCUUUAGAGAAAGCUUAUAAUUAGUAAUAUUGGUAGCUCUGGUCAUCUUUCAUUCUGAAGUCUUUAAUGAGUCCUUUUACCAUAGAUUCAUGACAGCUAAUUGGUACUGAUUUGGAGGUUUCCUUUCCCAUCAUUUGGAAUUAUGUAAUCAGAUACAAACUAUUGCAAUUAGAAAUAAAAUAUGAAAUAACUUUCAA